GCAAGACCGCGAGGUCAAGCCAAUCCCAUAAAACCAUUCUCAGUUCGGAUUGUAGGCUGCAACUCGCCUACAUGAAGCUGGAAUCGCUAGUAAUCGCGGAUCAGCAUGCCGCGGUGAAUACGUUCCCGGGCCUUGUACACACCGCCCGUCACACCACGAGAGUUUGUAACACCCGAAGUCGGUGGAGUAACCGUAAGGAGCUAGCCGCCUAAGGUGGGACAGAUGAUUGGGGUGAAGUCGUAACAAGGUAGCCGUAUCGGAAGGUGCGGCUGGAUCACCUCCUUUCUAAGGA
rnacentral:rRNA from 1 species